rnacentral:rRNA from 1 species
UUGAAGCGGGAUGAGCUCAAUUUAAAAUCUGGCGGUCUCAGAUCGUCCGAGUUGUAGUCUAGAGAAGCGUUUUCCGUGCUGGCCUGUGUACAAGUCCGUUGGAACACGGCGUCAUAGAGGGUGAGAAUCCCGUCCUUGACACAGAUCUCCAGUGCUUUGUGAUGCGCUCUCAAAGAGUCGAGUUGUUUGGGAAUGCAGCUCAAAAUGGGUGGUAAAUUCCAUCUAAAGCUAAAUAUUGGCGAGAAACCGAUAGCGAACAAGUACCGUGAGGGAAAGAUGAAAAGCACUUUGGAAAGAGAGUUAAACAGUACGUGAAAUUGUUGAAAGGGAAACGAUUGAAGUCAGUCAUGCUUUCCGAGACUCAGCCGGUUCUGCCGGUGUACUUCUCGGUUUGCAGGCCAGCAUCAGUUUUGGGCGGUGGAAAAGGUUGGCGGGAAUGUGGCAUCCUCGGAUGUGUUAUAGCCCGCUUUCGAAUACAUCGCCCGGGACUGAGGAACGCAGCACGCCUCUUGUAGGUCGGUCUUCGGACACGUCCGUGCUUAGGAUGCUGGCAUAAUGGCUUUAAACGACCCGUCUUG